rnacentral:lncRNA from 1 species
AACCUUCUCCAUGCUUCUUUUGUGGCCUGGAAAUUUUCUUAUGUUGAGCCCAAAUAUGGCACUUUUCCUAGACAGUCUUUAUUGCCACCUUUAGGAAAGAUAAAGGGUAAGUUUCAAUUUCAUGUUACGUCUCUUGACAUAUUGAAGGGAAUUAUGUGGGUGUCUUCUCUUACCCUCAGACCACAGUGAUGACUUUUGACACUCCUGCUUGCCAUGUUCUAGUCAUCAUUUGAGCACUUUGUGCGUGUAACAUAUAUUUCCUACUGUUCCCUGCUUACGUCAUAGAUCCACCUCAUUGAUUAACCGACAGCUUAAGAUAGCAGCAUUCCCAGAUUCAGGCCAUGAUUUAGAGGCUUGUUCUGCUUUUAGACCACAUCACUGAUUGCUGUGGUCCACCAUCCCCUCUGCAUCUCCUCUUCCUUUUUGUAGAUUCAGUAUCGGGAGAAUUUUUCUUCUGGGGAAAAGUUACUGUUCCAUUGGCAGAUGUUUAACAGACGUGUAUUUUGUAUCCAAGAAACAAUGCUUUUGAAUUUGAGGAGAUUUGAUAAAUUGACCAAAGACAUGCUUGAUCUGGCAGUUGGAUUCAAUUUACUGUAUUAGCCCAUUGUGCUAUUUUUUUUCUAUUUAUUUUUUUAGUUUUUAAAUUUAUUUUUAAUUUUGUUUAUUUAUUUAUUUUACUUAUUCACUUUACAUCACUGCCUCCCUCAUGGUCACCCCCUCACAUUCCUUCCCUCAUCCUUCCUCCACUUUUCCUUUGAGCAGGUGGGGGCUCCCCUGGAUACAUCCCCUACCCUUGCACAUAAGUCGCUAUGAGGCUAGGCCCGUCCUCUCCCACUGAAGCCAGGCAAGGCAGCCCAACUAGAAGAACCUAUCUCACAGACAGGCAACAGCUUUUGGGAUAGCCCCUCUACCCCCACACCCUAGUUGUUCGGGACCCAAUUGAAGACCAAGCUGCACAUCUGCUACAUAUGGCUGGGAAGGCCUAUGUCCAGCCCAUGUAUGUUCUUUGGUUGGUGGUUUAGUCUCUAAGAGCUCCCAAGGGAUCAGGUUAGUUGACUCUUGAUUUUCCUGUGGAAUUCCUAUCCUCUUAGAGGCUGCAAUCCCUCCUCAUGUUUUAGUACAGUACAAGAGUACUAAAACAAUCAAAGUUCCAUCCACUGUUUGGCUGUAGGCAUUUGCAUCUGUCUGAGUCAGCUGCUGGAUAGAGCCUCUCACAGCUGUGCUAGACUCCUGACUUCAGGCAUAACAGAGUAUCAUUAAUAGUAUCAGGGACUGGUGCUUGCCCAUGGGGUGGAGCUCAAAUUGGGCCAGUUAUUGGUUGGCCAUUCCUUCAGUCUCUGCUCCAUCCCUUAUUCCUGCAUUUAUUGUAGACAGGAUAAACUUUGGGUUGAAAGUUUUGUGGGUGGGUUGGUGUUCCUAUUGUCCCACUGUGGUUCCUGCCUGGCUACAGGAGCUGGCGUCUUCAGGUUCCAUAUCCCCAGUGCUGUGAGUCACAGCUAAGGUCAGUCCCAUUGAUUCUUGGGAAGUAAUUAUUAAAAUAAAUAGUUGAGAAAAGAAAGAUUCUCUUAACAAUGUAAGAGAUUCUAAGACUCUAAGAACAAUGUAAGAUACAUUAUGGAUGGCUAGACAUUCCUAAAAUUAGAUGUUAUGUUCAAGAGUGGACACACACUGCCAUUAAAGUCCACAGCUGGGCAACAGGACUUUAUGCUGUCUUCCCCCAGCUGUGUGAUGCUUACUAUGGUGUUUAUUAUCUAUUACUUUCAGCUUUGUCUCUGUAGUAGAACCUCCCUUCCAGGGCUGUUGAGGGCACCAAAUAAGAGCUGUAGAUAGCAGGCUUUGCUAGGUGGUUACAAUUUAGUCAAUAAAUACUAAGGAUGAAUAGUCAGGGCCCUUAAGACAUAGAAGGAGUCAAGAAACC